AUGUUCUUUCUCUCUGUCAAAAAUAAAAAAUGUAAAUGAAAAUUUUAAAUGUAGUUCAUAAACAACUUUUUUUCCCUUUCUGGAACUGCUUCUUCCACCAAAAAAGGUAGGUGCUACCAUUCCAGAGGCUCCCCCUGCACUGGACUUCGAGUAUUCAGCUCCAGACUUGUGGC